UUAAAUGGAGUGGUUGGUGUAUUGUAUGGUUUUAGAGAUUGGAUUUCACUCAAACCCCACCAAAUGACUCCCCCCAAAAUAUUAUGAAGUUCCCCAUGUUUUGGACUCAAUCCGAUAUCGAUUGGUCGAUGAAAUCGGAAUAUUCAGGUUCAUACGAAGUUCGUUCUGAAAUGGAUUGGUUGGUGUAUUGCAUAGUUUUGGCAAUUGGAUUUCACUCAAAACUC
rnacentral:lncRNA from 1 species